UUAAAUUUUAUAGAUAUUUUUUUAUAUAAAUAUGCUCAUGUGGUACCGAAACCGCAGGACGUUCGGUAAUUCACAUCGAGUGGUCAGAACUCAUUGAACGGCCGCAUUGUUCUUUCUGCGUCCCCUGGCGAAUCUGUCAACUGAGAAAUAAUCGAUGUGUUUUUAGAGUUUAAUCCCGUUUAACUUACUGGCGAAGUCCACAGACAAAUUUUUCAAUUUUUACUAACUCUACAUCUAUUACGCUUUUUUUUCCAAGCCUAAAGGUGUGCUUUAAUAUUUUGUGCACCAUUCCAAUCAUCCAUGCACAUUUGGGACAACUGCUGCCUCUCUUUCUCAGAUGUUAGAUGCUAGGUGGCGCCACUGUUUUUGACUUUAAUGUUGCUCCUGCCAUCUAUCGGUAUAUGUUUGCAGAAAUGGAUAUAUUAAGGAAAUUUUCUCUUUUCCCCUCACUGGCAACCCGUGGUAUGCAGGAGAAGAUGGGGAAUCUAAAAGCUCACGAAAAAAAUUUAUGUUAAUAUUGAGCGACACCGAGAGUUACAAUCAAAUUUAUCAUGAAAUUUGUAACGGGUUGAAAGCACAUUUACCAAACAUAAAAAGAGAAUUACAUUUAAAAAUUGAAGCUAUCGAUGAAGUUUAUGAGUUAAAAGGAAUGCGUUAUAUUUUCCGAAAAAAUGGAGCAAGUAAAGGUUUUGCCAUACUCUGUUUCCGCUGCAAUAACAGCUUCAAAUGCAAAGCAAAAACCCUAUAGAGACAGGUAUGAGAAGGCCAGCCGAUAUCUAAUAAACGAAAAUAAUUUUUUUUACCAAGAACAUUAUACUCCUUCUUACCCAUAUUCAAUGGGUUCAGGGUUUAAAUAUUGAAAAUGUCUCAAAAAGUUUGAUCUUAGUCAAACCAUUUUUUAUAUAUCUAUAUUUUAGUUUGGGUUAGGGCUUAUUUUUGUUGGUCGGUAUUGAUAUUGUGGGCUUGAAAUAUAACCGUCUAACAAUCCUGCUGCCAACUUAUAUUUACAAGUACACUUAGCGCAAGGCGUUUGUUGCAUUGGUAAUGACCACCAUGUACACCUUAAGGUGUAAGCUUAUAUUUAAUUUCAUAUACAAACACGCAGGUUAAAAGCUACGUGCUAUAAUUUAGCGACUGCUCUUCCUCCUCUCUCUCCCAUACACACUGAGGAAUAGUUUAUUUAAUUACUACUAUGUAUAUUUUGCGAGAGUUUAACGGUCGUUUUAGGGAAAACAGGAGGAAGUCUAAAAAAAUGUGAAUAAAUUACUUA